CUCAGCCUAGAGUCACCAUGAGACCCAGCAACUCCGCUUCCAGGCAUGCACCCAACCCUCGCCCUCCGCUGCAGGACUCGGCCAAAAAGCGGAGGAACCCAGCGUCCACCAGCAGGAGUCGAAGUUUCGACCACAGCCCUCCAGCCGCCACACCGAGAACCCGAGGACGAGGAAGUCUUCCCCACUGCACUGCAUCUGACCACGAGCCACGGGCUGCCCCAUUUCUCAGAGGGAGACUGAGUCCUGGAGAGGGGAAGCGAGUGGGUGACUUACGCUAACCUGGCCAGAGAGGAGGGGACAGCCGGGCCCCCGACAGCUCACCGCGCGUGGCCAGCACUUGGGGUGACCGGCCAGGAAAUGGAGACCCUGUGCCCCCCAGAGAAAGAACAAAAUUCUACCAACGCCUGAAAGGGCUUGGAAGCCCGUCCUUCCCCAGCUGAGCCUUUGGCUGUGCAGGCCGCCAGGGGACACCUGUCCACAGCCUCAUGGGACCCGGAGCCGGGGCACUGACCCGCUGGGCCAGACCACCGCCGACCCCCAGACGCCCUGAGAAAACACACGGGUGUCGUGGCCAGCCACUAAGUGCAAAUGUAGCUGACGCCAGCCGUUUGCCAAAAGGCCCUUCUCUGUUACAGUUCGCGUCUGGUUUUUAAGUUCGGCCUAACACAUCCUAACUCCAUUUCCAGAGGAGCCUCUUUCU